ACGGAGGGUGCAAGCGUUACCCGGAAUCACUGGGCGUAAAGGGCAUGUAGGCGGUUAUUUAAGUCCGGAUUUAAAGACCGAGGCUCAACCUCGGGAAUGGUCUGGAUACUGGAUGACUGGACGACUGGAGGGGAGAGUGGAAUUCUCGGUGUAGCGGUGGAAUGCGUAGAUACCGAGAGGAACACCAGUGGCGAAGGCGGCUCUCUGGACAGUGCGUGACGCUGAGGUGCGAAAGUGUGGGGAGCAAACCGGAUUAGAUACCCGGGUAGUCCACACCCUAAACGAUGUGUGUUGGAUGAUCGCCCGUUGGGGUGAUUGUCGAAGUUAACGCGAUAAACACACCGCCUGGGAAGUACGGCCGCAAGGUUG
rnacentral:rRNA from 1 species